rnacentral:rRNA from 1 species
CCUACGGGAGGCAGCAGUGGGGAAUAUUGCACAAUGAGGGAAACCCUGAUGCAGCGACGCCGCGUGAGUGAAGAAGUAUUUCUGUACGUAAAGCUCUAUCAGCAGGGAAGAAAAUGACGGUACCUGACUAAGAAGCCCCGGCUAACUACGUGCCAGCAGCCGCGGUAAUACGUAGGGGGCAAGCGUUAGCCGGAUUUACUGGGUGGAAAGGGAGCGUAGACGGCAGCGCAAGUCUGGAGUGAAAUCCCAUGGCUUAACCAUGGACCUGCUUUGGAAACUGUGCAGCUAGAGUGCAGGAGAGGUAAGCGGAAUUCCGAGUGUAGCGGUGAAAUGCGUAGAUAUUAGGAGGAACACCAGUGGCGAAGGCGGCUUACUGGAUUGUAACUGACGUUGAGGCUCGAAAGCGUGGGGAGCAAACAGGAUUAGAUACCCGUGUAGUC